UUCUACAUGCACCCGUCUCUCUAUCCCCACGAGAACACGAACCAUCCCGGCCACCCGGCGCUAGGGUUCCCUCCGCCGUCGCGCCCCAUCCCUCCGCUCCCAGCAACCCUGUCCACUCUCUCCCAUCCCCAGUCGUCGUCGUAGCCCCUCGCCGCCGUUCGAUAUCCAAGACGGAGCCUCGGCCGACAGCUCCUUGGAGCACGCCGCCCGCCAGUGGAUGCCCUGAUUCUGCGCGACCCCGCCAGAGACUCACCUCGCCACCUUGGCGCCUCCCGAAGGAUCUCCGCCACCGCCUAGCGCUUCUGUGCGCAAGGAUGCCGACGCCUCUCCUUGGCCCUCCUGGCGGACAGCCUCCAGCCCACACAAGCUUCCCUGUUUUGGCUCUGUUGGCUACCAUGGUUGAGUAGAGCGAGAUUCAAUGAUGACAACACGCACACCUUUCCCUGAUGCUUGGGCAAAGGCAUGUAUGUCCGAUGUGCAGGCAAAACUUUAUAGAUGCAGAUUACAUACAUUAGAAAUUGCCAACUCGGUGGAUGAUAAAUACUAUGACUUGGGACUCAGAAAAAAGAUCAACACGUAGAUGCAGAUUACAUAGAUCAGGACUUGCUAACUCGGCGUAUGACACAUACUAAACGACAUCAACACGUAGGUAUGAGAGUUCGGAAUAUCCAACAUUUGCUAACUACUUUUUAAUUGCUUCGUCCUCUACCUGCAAUUACAACUUCAGUGUGCUUGAUUUUCAAUUAGCCAAGUGCAUUUGUUGGUUUUAGUUCUUUUCUAUAUACAAUUAAUUAUCAAUAGGUUUGAUGAUACUUCAGAACAACAUGUCAAUGUUAGAGGCUUAUUUUAUUUUAUUUGGACUAGCAGUUUUUGUUCUGCCAAUAGAAAUAAUAAAUGAGGGAUUUCCCCAGUUUUUUUCUCUCAUGUUGUUUUGACCAUGAUGUACCAGAUUUUCAAUGUGGAAAACAAUUAGAAUUGCACUUUUCAGGGGAUGUACUUUAGUUGGUGUGCAUGCCUUGGUUCAUUGUUGCCUAGACAAGCUAGAGAAUUUUUGCUGUGAGAAAAUGUAUGGACAUUUGAUGAUUAGAGUUAAGAAAAUAUUAUGAUAACAUGGUUUGGCUUAAUACACUAGGUUGUUCGCUACCUUGAGGAGCUCGAGAAACUUAUUGAAGUGCUUAUAUUUUAAUUAUAAGUUUUGAUUCUUAUGUUGGAGACAUGACUAUGCAAGGAAGUGGUGAGAGAAUUUUGCAGUAGCUUUAUAGUGAUGUUUAGAUAAUUACCAUUUAGAUUAACAAAGAAAACAACUGGGAGCUGCUUUUAGAAUUUCAUUUAUUAUUUGUUAGACCAUGAUCAUCUGCCGAUAAUUAUUUUCCUCAAUAGUUUUUCCUUUAUUACUGAUAUUUUCAUGUCAUUUCAAUUGAUGCACCCUAAUCUAAUAUCUACAAACUUCAUUUACACAACACAAUUGAUUGUUGCUGAUGUAGGUGAGACCAUUGACUAUUAGAGGUGAGUUGGCAAGCUGUUUUCUUCUAUGGUUUGGCAUGUAACUUUGUGUUCUCUAGCUCUUUUUAGUUUUAUAUUUUUCUAACAAACAAGACCAAUCUUACCUUAAGAAGAAAAGCAUCAUUAUAACCAUGAAAAAAAAUCUACUUAAAUGUAAGGCUUUUGUUCGUCUAUUAAGUCAUUACCCGUCUAAACGAGACACAGAAAUAAUGAAUUCUUACAUGGUAAGUUUUUGUUUCAUUUUCAUUCUUUGCCUUAUCCCGUGUUGGAAAAGAAGUUCAAUUGUUUUUUUCUUCACAAUGUACCAAAGAUUCUGAUGAACGAUGCUUAUUUUUCUCUCAGCUUCAAGAAACAGUCACUAUAUACUCUGUUUUGUAUAUAUUAUGUAGUUGUAAGGAGAUGUUUUAUUUUCUUUAUAUGCUACUAUUUAACAUCUUGGAAGAGUCCUGAAUUUAUUGGAGACAACAAAGUGGGCGCACCAUUUGAGUUAUUUGGCACCUUGAUGCAGCAAAUCAACACAUGUUUGAGCUACAACGUAUGUCACUUAAAUAAAUGUAACGUGAUUUACCCCUUUAUUUCUUUAUCUCGAGAGACAAUGUAGAUAUAUGCAUGUGUUUACAUUUGUUGUGGUUGCAUGUAUCCUUGACUUUUGUUAGGCUGGGGACAAGAGUAUCAAUUUGUAUAAUGCUAAUAAUGUUGUCACAUAAUAGUGUAAUGUAUGUGUUAUUGUGAUGUUAUCCAGUCAAACUCUUUAGAAAACAAUGGUCGCUGCCAGAAGUUGGCUGGGGUGAUUGUUGAAUAUAGAUGGGAGCUUCUUUGAGGAAAGCCAAACAAGUGGCCGGGGAUGUAUCUCGCGGGACUCGAUGGUUACAGUUUGGGGAGCAGCAGAGUUGCUUGCUAGCAUCUUUUUUUCUUGCAUCUACGAACUGAUGAUGCUUUACUUGCUAUUGUUUCCCGUGGUAGUACAUUAUGGCUCACUGUUGUUUAUGCUCGGACAGCAGCAGAGGAAUAGACUCGGCAAGGAAGGGAGCUACUCCAGUGUAGUCGGUGGAAUUGACUGGCAAAGUAAAUCAUGAAGCUCCUGGUUGGACCAAGAGCAUUCGUGAUGGACCAAUAUUGUGUUGAAGGCUAAGAAUUGGGGCUGCACCUCCUACAACAGUCAGUUUCGUCGGUGGCCUACCAACAACACUGGUGAAGGAAUAAGGGUGGCCCGAGACCGAUAAUAGGGGGCUCUUGAACUGGCAAAGCAAGAAGCCACCAUCGCUUCAUUGUCCCCAGAGAUCGUUUGGUGAUGUCCGAUGGAUAUCAUGUGACGGAGUGGAGACGCACACUCCCCUGCCCCAACUUUGGUGCCGCCACCUACCAAUGCGGGGCACAGUCCUUCCUGACCCAGCCUACAUCUUGAUUGUAAAUUUCUCUCACCUUCUAUCUCGUGUUCAUGUGGUCGUAUUGAUUUUGCCUUUUGAGAAGUGUUGAAAGAAGAUUAUGUGCUUCAGACGACUGAAUGUCCGGUAAUAUCAUCAACCUUCAGCCAGCAGCGGCUCCGAACUCUAUCACCUCAAAUGGUUUAGCAUAGAUCAGUCACAUGUGAGGACGAAAGCUUGGAUCAGCUUCUGUAGUCGCUAUCUUUCAUUUACAACCGAGUUUUCUUAUGGUUAUAGGAUAGAAACUUUGUAUUAUUUUGCCAUCUUCUUUCCUUCAUGAAACUAGCUGCAGCAAGUAGCAAUUUAAAUUGA